rnacentral:rRNA from 1 species
GGACUACAAGGGUAUCUAAUCCUGUUUGCUCCCCACGCUUUCGCGCCUCAGCGUCAGUCUCGGUCCAGAGCGCCGCCUUCGCCACCGGUGUUCUUCCCAAUAUCUACGAAUUUCACCUCUACACUGGGAAUUCCACGCUCCUCUCCCGAACUCCAGCCCCCCGUCUCGCGCGCCGUUCCCAGGUUGAGCCCGGGGCUUUCACACGCGACAAGGAGGGCCGCCUACGCGCCCUUUACGCCCAGUAAAUCCGAACAACGCUCGCCCCCUUCGUAUUACCGCGGCGGCUGGCAC